UACGUAGGGUGCAAGCGUUGUCCGGAAUUAUUGGGCGUAAAGAGCUCGUAGGCGGUUCGUCGCGUCGGCUGUGAAAACCCGGAGCUCAACUCCGGGCCUGCAGUCGAUACGGGCGGACUCGAGUUCGGCAGGGGAGACUGGAAAUUCCUGGUGUAGCGGUGAAAUGCGCAGAUAUCAGGAGGAACACCGGUGGCGAAGGCGGGUCUCUGGGCCGAUACUGACGCUGAGGAGCGAAAGCGUGGGGAGCGAACAGG
rnacentral:rRNA from 1 species